rnacentral:tRNA from 1 species
GCCGGGGUAGCUCAGUGGUAGAGCAGCUGAUUCGUAAUCAGCAGGUCGUGGGUUCGACUCCCACCCUCGGCUCCA